rnacentral:lncRNA from 1 species
CGAACAUGAGUUGGCGCAAACGUGAAUGGGCGCGAACGGACCCGGAUUCAGCCUAUGUACCAGUGAGAAAUAUAGAAGCCUUUCUACGGUAUUUAUUUGUACAAUUCAGGUAGUCUUGACCUAUUCAUUUGUCUUAAAAAAAAACCCAGCCAGUUGGCACCUUCACUUCACACACACACAUAUACGAAUAUCAAUUAUAUGCUUACGAGACAUGUUGCAUUGUUAAACUAAUUACGGUAUGUGAAAAUCAAGACUUGCAUAAAAACUAUCCCAAUAUUAGAGACAGUGGCGUCAUUUUUCUUCAGAGCUUUCAGCUCUUUGAUUAAUCCUAGCAUCAGCAUUCAUUAAACACUGUCAUUGAGUUAUCAUCAGUAACGAUCAGUUUCCGUUGUACAGAGGUAUAACGUAUUCCAUCACUCCACUCCAGUGAUUUCAUUCCCUUUGUAGUUACUUUUUUAUACUUCUUUCCUUCAUAUGAUGCAUGCAGUACUGAUCUAUCCCAACAUAUACAUAUACUCCCAUCUUGUAGUAUGGUCAUACCACAUGGCUUUGAUGGUAACUUUAUUUUGAACCUCUUGUUAGUAAAGUGACUGAAUGGUGCAGGUAAUACUUUAUUUUCAAAGUCUACAUAAUGUAACAACAUAAAGGGGCACUAGCUACGAGAUAUAUAAAAUCUAAAGAAUGAUUUAUUUUGUUCAAUCAUUAAUGAAAGUAGAAUAGUAAAACAAUAAUUUGCUUUUAUCAGCUAAAAUGGUUCAAUUUUGUCAAAUUAGGCUAAUAAACCUUGAUAAAGAAUUAUCCACUUGCAAGUAAAUAAUUCGACCUCAUGAAAUUCGUUUUCAUGUGAACUCCAAUUUACCCCGUAGAAAGGGAUAGAAUAACGCAUGCAUUGUCCGUGUACGGUUAUUUAAAGGAAAAAAAUGUCAACAUUGAAAGUGAAACUAAGGUAAAUAAUUGGAUUGACUAAUUCGAUCCACAAAAAAUCUUUCUUAUAAAGGUAAAAAGGACGAUAAACAUAAAUUUUUGAUUUAUAAAACAAAAUUUAACAGACCUAUAAAAAUCCAAUUGCACGAGUUACUUAAUCUAUUUAUAUCGGUGUUUAUGUUUACAUCGCUUAUAUGGUCAUAGAAGGUCAGCUCGAUAGUUAAUUAGAUGGCGUCUUGGCUGAAAUUCGUACGAAACGAAGCUACAUCUUAUUGAGACCAUCUCCUGUAAAUUGUUUAUCUAAUACUUUUGAUAGUUUGGAAAAAUGUUUUACAUUUUUAUAAAUACAAUCUGAGAAUUUGAGUCAAAUCGGUGAACAUUAAUUUGGCAGCUAGUGCCCCUUUAAAGUCGAUUUUAUGUUCUCUUUAAUUACGGUUUUCUUUUGCCGUUUCAUUUACUUUUUCUUACAAACCAUCAGUUCUUUAUCUACAUAUUGUAUUUUGAACAAUGUAAAUAAGUUUUCAAUAAUGAUUUUGUUUGAAUGCCUUUACGAAAAUUAAACUCAUUCUAAUUGGUAUACUACUGUUGCCUUAAAUUAGGCGGGUAAUUUUAGAUUUAUUUUAAUUCUUGUAUAAAUCAGCACUCCUUAAACAAAGUAAAUGAGACUCCAUUUGCAAUUAUCAGUUUCUUUUGUACCUGAUUAUAGUUUAUUCCAUGAAUCAACCUCAGUGAUGUCAGCCCUUCUGUAGUAACUUGUUUAUACUUCCUUCCAUCAGAUGACACAUGUUGUACUGAUUUAUCCAGACAUAUCGCAUACACACUACCAUCUUGUAGUAUCGUUGUAAUACAAGGCUUUGAUGGUAACUUCACUUUAAAAAUCUUGUUAUUAGAGUGACUGUAAUGGUACAGGUAAUGACUAUCAUCUGUGCAAAAUAUGCCAUCACCAGAACCACACAGUGUGACAGGAUUACAAUCACCAGUAUCAAUGGUCUUCUCCAAAUUCUCUGUCUGAGGAUCUAUGAUCAACAAUCUUCCCGUACAGCCUACUACUAACUUGUUGUCAAUAGUUGUGAUGCCAACGCAUUCUGUAGAUAACUGAAUUGAUUUCACUUUCUGUUUAUUGUGUAUGUCCCAUAUGUCUAUAAUGCUACAGUGAAAUAGAGUAACAGCUACAGUAGAGUUGUUUACCACAGUAAUAUCCCAUGGUCGACCCUGUAGUUAUUGUACUAACAUAUGAAUAAUCCGUAUUAUAAAUCGUCAUUGCUGAAUUUUCCAUUUGUAUAUUAACCACAUACCCAUCAUCUAUUAUAACAGCCUUGUGUAAUCCAAAACUCCACUGGUAAAUACUGCAGGAAAUUGAUGAAUUUGAUAGAAGAUAUCUUGUCCUAGUUUGUAUGAUAUUCUUUCUUGAUCUAUAUUCGGGAUGUUUU